UACAGAGGUCUCAAGCGUUGUUCGGAUUCAUUGGGCGUAAAGGGUGCGUAGGCGGCGCGGUAAGUCGGGUGUGAAAUUUCGAGGCUUAACUUCGAAACUGCAUUCGAUACUGCCGUGCUUGAGGACUGGAGAGGAGACUGGAAUUUACGGUGUAGCGGUGAAAUGCGUAGAUAUCGUAAAGAAGACCAGUGGCGAAGGCGGGUCUCUGGACAGUUCCUGACGCUGAGGCACGAAGGCCAGGGGAGCAAACGGG
rnacentral:rRNA from 1 species